CAGAUUUUGGGGGGCCUGUUCCCAACAAUGGGGAUCUUGGAGAAACUCGAGGGAAGCAGUUUGAAUAUGUCAUCCCACUGCCUUUGGCCUUCAUAGCUUCUGGCCCAGGAAAGGGAAGAAUUACAUGAAGACACAUGGAGAGGGGAGCCAAGGGGAGAGGUUCAGAAGAAACAAAGCCUGCUGAUAUCUUGAUCUUGGGGUCUAACCUCCAGAACGGUGAUGAAAUGUCUGUUAUUUAAGCCAUUCGGUCUGUGGUAUUGGUGACAACAGUCUAAGCAGACUAAUGCAAGCCCUGACACAGACUUUAUGCAAUUUAAUUCUCUUUUCUCAGUCAUGAUUUUCUCCUCUGUAAUAAGCUCUAAUUAUCAGUGAUGAAAAUUAAAUGUGUAAAUGUGUACAUUAUUGUUUAAAGACAAGUAAAGAAAACCAACACCCUUGUUUUUGUUUAACGGAUCUACCUAUUUUUAGGAAAUGUUUAAGCAGAUGUGGAUUUUUUUUUUAACACAAUAAAAUACUAUCCUUUUCUCAGCUCUUUUAAAAAAUACAUACCUAUUUUCUGAGAAGACAUUUUCACUUGGUUGAAUGAUGUUUAAUCCAG
rnacentral:lncRNA from 1 species